rnacentral:rRNA from 1 species
GGCGAUGAAGGACGUGCUAAUCUGCGAUAAGCGUCGGUAAGGUGAUAUGAACCGUUAUAACCGGCGAUUUCCGAAUGGGGAAACCCAGUGUGUUUCGACACACUAUCAUUACGUGAAUACAUAGCGUAAUGAAGCGAACCGGGGGAACUGAAACAUCUAAGUACCCCGAGGAAAAGAAAUCAACCGAGAUUCCCCCAGUAGCGGCGAGCGAACGGGGAGCAGCCCAGAGUCUGAAUCAGCAUGUGUGUUAGUGGAACGGUCUGGAAAGUCCGACGGUACAGGGUGAUAGUCCCGUACACCAAAAUGCAUAUGCUGUGAACUCGAAGAGUAGGGCGGGACACGUGGUAUCCUGUCUGAAUAUGGGGGGACCAUCCUCCAAGGCUAAAUACUCCUGACUGACCGAUAGUGAACCAGUACCGUGAGGGAAAGGCGAAAAGAACCCCGGCGAGGGGAGUGAAAAAGAACCUGAAACCGUGUACGUACAAGCAGUGGGAGCCUACUUGUUAGGUGACUGCGUACCUUUUGUAUAAUGGGUCAGCGACUUAUAUUCUGUAGCAAGGUUAACCGAAUAGGGGAGCCGAAGGGAAACCGAGUCUUAACUGGGCGUUAAGUUGCAGGGUAUAGACCCGAAACCCGGUGAUCUAGCCAUGGGCAGGUUGAAGGUUGGGUAACACUAACUGGAGGACCGAACCGACUAAUGUUGAAAAAUUAGCGGAUGACUUGUGGCUGGGGGUGAAAGGCCAAUCAAACCGGGAGAUAGCUGGUUCUCCCCGAAAGCUAUUUAGGUAGCGCCUCGUGAACUCAUCUUCGGGGGUAGAGCACUGUUUCGGCUAGGGGGUCAUCCCGACUUACCAACCCGAUGCAAACUGCGAAUACCGAAGAAUGUUAUCACGGGAGACACACGGCGGGUGCUAACGUCCGUCGUGAAGAGGGAAACAACCCAGACCGCCAGCUAAGGUCCCAAAGUCACAGUUAAGUGGGAAACGAUGUGGGAAGGCUCAGACAGCCAGGAUGUUGGCUUAGAAGCAGCCAUCAUUUAAAGAAAGCGUAAUAGCUCACUGGUC